AGGAAAUAUUAGUAGUGCCAACGUUGAGAUACCCUGACUUACUCAUUCAACAGGGGAAAUAUUAUCUAUAAAAACCUUACAGAUGAUAAGGAUGGGACAGAUCAGAUGGAUUCUCCGCAGUCUUUAAUAAAAGCACCGCACGCUCUUCGCCCUGUUACAUUCUCCAGAUGGUCGUUAGACCUUCUGCUUCAUAUGGCUCAGCGGCUUUUGCAUCUGCUCUGAACGAGGCAGAGGAAGAUCUUACCCUGCCCAACAACUCCUGGAAGAUUUCCCCUUCAGGGAGAUGCUCCCACCCCCGCUGUGGGGUCCACUCGCCUGGCUCUCCUUGC